CCUACGUGAGGCAGCAGUGAGGAAUAUUGGUCAAUGGGCGCGAGCCUGAACCAGCCAAGUAGCGUGAAGGAUGACUGCCCUACGGGUUGUAAACUUCUUUUAUAAAGGAAUAAAGUGAGGCACGUGUGCCUUUUUGUAUGUACUUUAUGAAUAAGGAUCGGCUAACUCCGUGCCAGCAGCCGCGGUAAUACGGAGGAUCCGAGCUUUAUCCGGAUUUAUUGGGUUUAAAGGGAGCGUAGAUGGGUUGUUAAGUCAGUUGUGAAAGUUUGCGGCUCAACCGUAAAAUUGCAAUUGAUACUGGCAGUCUUGAGUACAGGUGAGGUAGGCGGAAUUCGUGGUGUAGCGGUGAAAUGCUUAGAUAUCACGAAGAACUCCGAUUGCGAAGGCAGCUUACUAAACUGCCACUGACAUUGAUGCUCGAAAGUGUGGGUAUCAAACAGGAUUAGAUACCCCAGUAGUC
rnacentral:rRNA from 1 species